UACGGAGGAGGCAAGCGUUAUCCGGAAUUAUUGGGCGUAAAGCGUCCGCAGGUGGCGCUUCAAGUCUGCGGUCAAAGACUGGGGCUUAACCCUGGAAAGGCCGUGGAAACUGAAAAGCUAGAGUGCAGUAGGGGUAGAGGGAAUUCCCGGUGUAGCGGUGAAAUGCGUAGAGCUCGGGAAGAACAUCGGUGGCGAAAGCGCUCUGCUGGACUGCAACUGACACUCAGGGACGAAAGCUAGGGGAGCGAAUGGG
rnacentral:rRNA from 1 species